UGAUGCAUAAUUUUUUUUUUUGUCAAUGAUGCAUAACUAUUAUUCUGUUACCAAUUAAUUAUGUCCUUUUUGUUACUUUUCAAUCAAGUUUUGUUUCACCUAAUGAUAUUGUUGUAACUCUAUUAUAUUUGCAUAAAUAAAUUAUUGAUAAAGUCAAAGAACUUCCAAAUCUACCACCUAUUAAACAACACUACAGUUCAUAUUACUGAAACAGAGCUUUAAAUAUUUUUUUUUUGUAACACAAACAAAGCUUUAAAUAUAAGAGAAUAUCAGAGCAUCUAUUCCACAUGCCUACAGGCUACAAUAGUACUUUAGAUACUUCUAAUUUCUUGAAUUUGACAUUAAUCCUAGAAAAUCAAGAAAUAUCAGUUGGACAUUUUAACUACACACAAUGAUUCAAAAGAUUUUCAAGCUUCAUCAACUGUGUAAGACUAGACACAAAGGGUUUAGAAUAAUUAAACAAAACCUAAACAUUCAAGAUUCGAGAAAACUAUUACUGUUGGCGGCAAGAUACAUACAAGCACCAAACAAAGCAAAAAAAAAAAAAAAACAGAAAAAAAAAAAAUAAUACUUUUUCAUGAAUAUAUUAUCAAUCACUUUCUAGAAUCCUACAGAUACUAAAUCACAACUAGUUAGUAAUGAUAUGAAAAUAGUUCUCUAAGAAAUAUUUCUGCUGCGUAAAUGGUAUUUUCUUAUAAGCAUAUAUCAGUUACUGUUUUCAAAGAUUAAGAAGCAAUAAGUUUCUACAGUCUCACGAAUACUAGAUCAAUGACAGAAAUAUUGCCAAGACUCAGAGACCAAGGGAUAGAGACAAUACAAUAACAGAGAAAUUUUCAAUCAUUGUUAUUGUAAAACUCAAGUCAACGUAUACAAUUUAUAGAAUAUUAUACAGUAAUCAUUAGCCUACUAUGCAAAGUUGUGAAGAAGUCAUUUCAUAUGUUUACAUGAUCACUAUGGGUUAAGAGUAUAACACAAAACACAAACAUUCAAGAUUUAAGGAAACUACGACCACAUUCUGCAAGAGUAUCUCACCUACGUUAAUCUAGAAGUGACUUCAUAAAAAUAAGAUACAUUAUAUAUAAUACAUACAAGCACCAAACUAAUUUAGAAUAAUAACUUUUUCAAAUCAACAUACAGAUUACUAAUACAUUAUAUAUAAUACAUACAAGCACCAAACUAAUUUAGAAUAAUAACUCAAAACAGAUACAUUCAAAAGUCAAGCCAACUACUUACACAAUCUACAGGAGUUUGGCCUGUGAACCUACAAGAGAUUCUAAA
rnacentral:lncRNA from 1 species